UACGUAGGGCGCAAGCGUUGUCCGGAAUUAUUGGGCGUAAAGAGCUCGUAGGCGGCUUGUCACGUCGGGUGUGAAAGCCCGGGGCUUAACCCCGGGUCUGCAUUCGAUACGGGCUAGCUAGAGUGUGGUAGGGGAGAUCGGAAUUCCUGGUGUAGCGGUGAAAUGCGCAGAUAUCAGGAGGAACACCGGUGGCGAAAGCGACUCUCUGGACGGCAACUGACGCUGAGGCACGAAAGCGUGGGGAGCAAACAGG
rnacentral:rRNA from 1 species